AUGAGCGAUCAAGAAGGCUCAUGGCCUAAGUUGGUGACCUCCAUUGCACUUAGGAGGGGUUCCCGCCUAUGGUCUCCUCAACGUAGGAGAGCCAACGUCAUAAUUUAUUGCAGUGGGGGCCUGCGUUCGCGCAGCCCCUGCCUUAAUUCAAUAUCAACUUUAUGCAACUAGCUAGCAAAAUUGGCUCAUUCCUCGUCUUUCUCAAGUUGAUUUACCUUUUUGUCUGGUAUAAUUGUUUAAUAUAUCCAGUUGUGACAUGCAAAAAUAGUUAUUAAUUUAUCCCUUCAAUUCUGCAGUGACAUGCAAAAAUAAUUUUUAGUAAAAUUCAACUGGACCUUUUCUGUCAAACCAUCCAUAAAUUGCUUCAUCAAUAUCAAUCCUUGCAUAUAUAAAUUUAUAGAUAAGUGUUACAUAUUAUGUUUUUAUUUUAUUAAUAUUUCAUAGAUUUGCAUGGGCCUGGCGUAUUACUGCAAGGGCCUAGCGCACCCCAUUAAACCUAGUUCAAACUUGCAAUUCUUUAGUUGUAGAGAAGAGCUACAGGGCCAUGGUCUAGUUGAUGAUUUCCAUCACCAUUAUACAACGGAAAAAGAACUAGCACCCUCGAGCAAAAUGGCCCAAGAAGCUGUUAAUGGGUAGUCGAGGUGUAAUUCUUAAACCGUUCGUUUAUAAAAAAAGCAAACUUUUUAUUUAUUAUAGGUCUAACUCAUUUCCAAACUUACCCUCAUCACUUGAACUAAUAUAAAGGGCUUAAAAUGAUUAAAUUUGUGAAUUUGAAAAAGUUAUAUGAUAGAUUGAUAAUUAAGUACGUAUUAUAUUUUAUGUUUUUAUUUUAUUUUAUUAAUAUUUCAUAAGUUAGUUUAAUAAUUAGUAUGUAUGAUGAGAUUCCCUUAAUCCCUCAUCCAACGUGAGUAGUGGGCGCUGUUCUGUGGGAUAGUUUGUUCCUUUGUAGUUAGAUGUUAUAGUGGAUGAAACUUGAUAAUUAUUAACUAACUUUUAGUUAGAGGUCAGUUUCCUCCACAACCCCACCUAAAAGACGUCAAAGGUUCCUACAUAAACCCCACUUAAAAGAGGUCAAGGGUUUCUCCAUAAUCCCCAAUUCCAUAUACUUUCAUUAAGUCAUUUUCCUAGUUUAAUCCCCCAUCACUUGAACUAAUAUAAAGGGCUUAAAAUGAUUAAAUUUGUGAAUUUGAAAAAGUUAUAUGAUAGAUUGAUAAUUAAGUACGUAUUAUAUUUUAUGUUUUUAUUUUAUUUUAUUAAUAUUUCAUAAGUUAGUUUAAUAAUUAGUAUGUAUGAUGAGAUUCCCUUAAUCCCUCAUCCAACGUGAGUAGUGGGCGCUGUUCUGUGGGAUAGUUUGUUCCUUUGUAGUUAGAUGUUAUAGUGGAUGAAACUUGAUAAUUAUUAACUAACUUUUAGUUAGAGGUCAGUUUCCUCCACAACGCCCACCUAAAAGACGUCAAAGGUUCCUACAUAAACCCCACUUAAAAGAGGUCAAGGGUUUCUCCAUAAUCCCCAAUUCCAUACUUUCAUUGUUUCUCCUAGUUUAAUCCACUCCUUUAAGCAUCAUUGCGAUUGCAUGAUGAAAAGUGCUAAUUAGGGGUCUGUUUGAUAAUCAUUUCAAUUUUAGUUUUUAGUUUUUCUUUUUUGUGCUAGAGUAUAGAGGAAAAUGAGCGUGAGUAUGAGAUUGAAAGAGAUGAUGAGAGGGGAGGAUGGAAGAGAGGAGUAACAAAAGUGAAAACAAUUUGAAAUUGAUUUCAGUUUUUAGUUUUUGUUUUCAGUUUUGUUACUCCUCCCUCCCAUCCUCCCAUCUUAUCUUUCUUCUUAAUCUCAUCUCCACUCUCAUUCUCACUUCUAUUUUCCCUCUUUAUCCUCUAUACUCUAGCACAAAAAAUGAAAACUAAAAACUAAAAUUGAAACGGACCCUAAAUUUGUUAAACAUUAAUAUUUUGGUGCUAAUGGGGUUUGUUCAAAAUUGAAUAUUCUAUGAAGAUUUUGUAUGAUUAAUAGUGAAAACUAAGAAAAGAGUGAAAUUCUAAGCAAUUUGGAAUCGCACAUAGUACACAUACCAAACUUUGGCCAUACCUUUUUACCAAAUUGCAAGCAGCCUUUUGCUUCUCUUAUAUGAGAAAUAUAAUCCUUUUUUAGAACGUGUAUGUAAUUGAAUAUCUUCGUUUUGUCGCCAAUAUUUUAGCCUUCUCAACACAUGUAUGCAUGCAUAACCCAAAUCAAUUAUGCUCUCAGCCUUCGUAGCCCCCUUUUGCUUUUUGUAAAUGUUGAACAGUCCCACAUCGACUGGACCAAUAACCAUGGAAGUGAAUGGCCCGAUAAAAAGAGAAACAAGAGAUGUGAAAAGGCAUACCUUUCUCUGCCUUUUGGCUAAGAUCAAGUGUAGUAUCUGUUCUUAUCAGUUUAAUAUCUGAUAUGUGGGUCAAUGAUCCACACGAUAUUAAAUUAAUUUCUUUACGGGGGAGGGUCCAUUACAAUAGCUUGCUAUUGGGGCUCUCAAGUGUCGCCCAAGCGUUGCACUAUUGCAUGGGCCUGGCGCACCCCACUAAAUUUAGUCUAAAUUUUUUAGGGAUAUUGACUGGAAUGGUUGUCUAACUAUUGCUUGAGUUUUAUUUUGAUCGGCCAAUUAAAAUUUUCAUUUUAAUAGUCCUUCAAUUCCUUGUUUAGUAUUAAAAUUGUCAUAAUAUCAAAGUCCGUCAAAUAUUUUGUGAAAUUGAGGCGCAAAAUCGUCGAAGUCUGUCCAUCCCUACAAAGCCAUCUCUAGCCCUUGCCCUUCGUUCUCUCUCUCCCCUCUACCCUAAAUCUGUGAAGAGGUUGGUGGAUAUGGUAGGAUGAAGGAGAAGAGACGAAGGAAUGGCUGGAGUAGGAGAAUAGGGAUUUAAAUGAUAGAGCGAAAUGGGGUUGUUCGAACAAGAAGACUACUCUCAUCGUUUGCUCCACUAACAUUGUUGUUUAUAUGUUCGUUCUCUACGCUUCUCUGUACAUCCACUUCAUUAACAUUGUUGUUGGAUUGAAUUGGUAGAGCGAUUUGCUGUAACUUUUAUAAUUUAACGGAGAACCUUUGUUAUGCUCAAAAGGUAAAGGCACUAGGAGCUUUCUAGAGAUGCAGUGGUAGAAUUGCCACAACCUUUGAAAUUGAAGUUACAAAUGAGAUAGUUGAGAGGUUGAAAACAUUGAGGCCCAAAGCAAAUUUUACUGAGCAGAGAGGAAGGUGGAAGACCGUGAACAAGUGUUUGUGGAUACAAUUGAAAGAGAGAAGAAGCCUUUGGCUCUGGUAGUUGGGUCCAGCAAAACUAGGGUUCUAAUUUCGGGGAGCGUCUAACAUAUGGACGGUUUUACCCCUCAAUUUAAUGGUAAAAUUGACAGACUUUGGGGUAGGACCAUUUUGAUACUAAAUGGAGAGUUGGACUAUUGAAAUGAAAAUUUUAGUUGGUGGACCAACAUGAAACUCGAGCAAUAGUUGGGGGACCAUUUCGGUCCAUAACCAUUUCUUUUAUUUGUUACUACAAGAACAUUCUGAAAAAGAAAUAAACUUGGCAGACGAGAGAUCAUGAGAUCGAUGAAGAAGCGACACAGAUGUUGUCUUCGAAAUUUCUGAGCGCUCGAUUGAAGAUCAGAGGUGAGGUCGGGAGAGAGAGGUGCAGCCAGCCACAACCGCUUAGGUCAAAAAGAGAAGAAAAAACGAAAGCUGAAGAGAAGAAAGAGACUGAGUGAAAGAAGAGAGAGUCGCGUGCGAGAGGGUUACGGAAAAAAAAUUUUAUAUAUUCUAAGGGAUAGGCUGCAACCGGUCUCACAUGGAACCAUUUUUUGGCCAAUCAAACGACGCCACGUGUAACGUACAUAUAUAUAUAUAUAUAUAUUGACCGGUUCGGUUCAUGUUCAUCGGAAGGCUGAACCGUUGACCUUCGGUUCGGUUCAGAUUUGUGGCUGACUUUUUUGGUUUAGUCAAAAAACUCUCUUUUUCGAUUUGAUUUGGUUUGGUUCGAUUGGUUUGAUCGGUUUAUCGGUUUUUAUGCCCACCCCUAGUUUUUGUUUUAUUCAGAUUUCAUAGAUUUGCAUGGGCCUGGCGUAUUACUGCAUGGGCCUAGCGCACCCACUAAACCUAGUUCAAACUUGCAACUCUUUAGUUGUAGAGAAGAGCUACAGGACCAUAGUCUAUUUGAUGAUUUCCAUCGCAAUUAUACAAUGGAAAAAGAACUAGCACCCUCAAGCAAAAUGGCCCAAGAAGCUGUUAACGGGUCGAGGUGUAAUUCUUAAACCGUUCGUUUAUAAAAGGUUUAAUUACUGUUAAAGUGUAAGACCGAGCGCCUAUUUUUGGAGUAAAAAAAGCGAACUCUUUAUUUAUCAUAGGCCUAACUCAUUUCCAGACUUACAUUCAUCACUCGAAUUAAUAUCAAGGGCUUAAGAUGAUUUAAUUUGUGAAUUUGAAAAAGUUAUAUGAUUGAUUGAUAAUUAAGUACGUAUUAUAUUUUAUGUUUUUAUUUUAUUUUAUUAAUAUUUCAUAAGUUAGUUUAAUAAUUAGUAUGUAUGAUGAGAUUCCCUUAAUCCCUCAUCCAACGUGAGUAGUGGGCGCUGUUCUGUGGGAUAGUUUGUUCCUUUGUAGUUAGAUGUUAUAGUGGAUGAAACUUGAUAAUUAUUAACUAACUUUUAGUUAGAGGUCAGUUUCCUCCACAAACCCCACCUAAAAGACGUCAAGGGUUCCUACAUAAACCCCACUUAAAAGAGGUCAAGGGUUUCUCCAUAAUCCCCAAUUCCAUACUUUCAUUGUUUCUCCUAGUUUAAUCCACUCCUUUAAGCAUCAUUGCGAUUGCAUGAUGAAAAGUGCUAAUUAGGGGUCUGUUUGAUAACUAUUUCAAUUUUAGUUUUUAGUUUUUCUUUUUUGUGCUAGAGUAUAGAGGAAAAUGAGAGUGAGUAUGAGAUUGAAAGAGAUGAUGAGAGGGGAGGAUGGAAGAGAGGAGUAACAAAAGUGAAAACAAUUUGAAAUAGAUUUCAGUUUUUAGUUUUUGUUUUUAGUUUUGUUACUCCUCCUUCCCAUCCUCCCCUCUUAUCUUUCAUCUUAAUCUCAUCUCCACUCUCAUUCUCACUUCUAUUCUCCCUCUUUUUCCUCUAUAUUCUAGCACAAAAAAUGAAAAAUAAAAACUAAAAUUGAAACGGUUAUCAAACGGACCCUAAAUUUGUUAAACAUUAGUAUUUUGGUGCUAAUGGGGUUUGUUCAAAAUUGGAUAUUCUAUGAAGAUUUUGUAUGAUGAAUAGUGAAAACUAAGAAAAGAGUGAAGUUCUAAAUUGCAAGCAGCCUUUUGCUUCUCUUGUAUGAGAAAUACAAUCCUUUUUUAGAACGUGUAUGUAAUUGAAUAUCUUUGUUUUGUCGCCAAUAUUUUAGCCUUGUCAAGACAUGUAUGCAUGCAUAACCCAAAUCAAUUAUGCUCUCAGCCUUCGUAGCUCCCUUUUGCUUUUUGUAAAUGUUGAACAGUCCCACAUCGACUGGACCAAUAACCAUGGAAGUGAAUGUCCCGAUAAAAAGAGAAACAAGAGAUGUGAAAAGGCAUACCUUUCUCGGCCUUUUGGCUAAGAUCAAGUGUAGUAUCUGUUCUUAUCAGUUUAAUAUCUGAUAUGUGGGUCAAUGACACACGAUAUUAAAUUAAUUUCUUUAGGGGGAGGGUCUGCUACAGUAGCUUGCUAUUGGGGCUCUCAAGUGUCGCCCAAGCGUUGCACUAUUGCAUGGGCCUGGCGCACCCCACUAAACUUAGUCUAAUUUUUUUUUUUUAAUUUACGAUUAUUGACUAAAAUGGUUUUUCAAUUAUUGCUCGAGUUUCAUUUUGGUCGACCAAUUAAAAUUUUCAUUUCAAUAAUCCUUCAAUUCUCCGUUUCGUAACAAAAUUGUCAUAUUUUCAAAGUUUCUCAAAUGUUUUGUGAAAUUGAGGGGCAAAACUAUCAAAGUUUAUCCAUCCCUACGAAUAGCUUGAUCAAAAGAAGAUAUGGAUUGUGUCAACAGAAGCCACGUUUCUAAUAAUUAUCGAUCUGUGAAGAGGUUGGUGGAUAUGGUAGGAUGAAGGAGAAGAGACAAAGGAAUGGCUCAGGUAGGAGAAUGGGGAUUUAAUGAUAGAGCGAAAUGGGGUUGUUCGAACAAGAAGACUACUCUCAUCGUUUUCUUCACUAACAUUGUUAUUGCUUAUAUAUUCGUUCUCUCUACGCUUCUCUGUACAUCUACUCCAUUAACAUUGUUGUUGGAUUGAAUUGGUAGAGCGAUUUGCUGUAACUUUUAUAAUUUAAUGGAGAACCUUUGUUAAGGUAAAUGCACUAGGAGCUUUCUAGAGAUGCAGUGGUAGAAUUGCCACAACCUUUGAAAUUGAAGUUACCAAUGAGAUAGUUGAGAGGUUGAAAACCUUGAGGCCCAAAGCAAAUUUUACUGAGCAUAGAGGAAGGUGGAAGACCGUGAACAAGUGUUUGUGGAUACAAUUGAAAGAGAGAAGAAGCCUUUGGCUCUGGUAGCUGGGUCCAGCAAAACUAGGGUUCUAAUUUCGGGGAGCGUCUAACAUAUGGACGGUUUUACCCCUCAAUUUAAUGGUAAAAUUGACAGACUUUGGGGUAGGAUCAUUUUGAUACUAAAUGGAGAGUUGGAGGACUAUUGAAAUGAAAAUUUUAGUUGGUGGACCAACAUGAAACUCGAGCAAUAGUUGGGGGACCAUUUC
rnacentral:lncRNA from 1 species